GUCUCCCGGGGAGCCCUCGGGGGGUCCCGGCUCUGUCGAGAGGGGUGCACAGAGGGGUCUCUCCUGCCCAGGGACAAAGGCCAGGACACACGCCUGCACCGUGCCAAGCAUCCCACUACCACCAGCAGCCCUGGAAUGGCCUCCUCAAAAACUAUGGUGCUCUGAACAGAGAAAGUGGAUGAUUCUCAGUGCCUCGAGGUGACGUGGUGGCCGUGUCCCAUGCUGGCCUGGCAGUGCUGCUGCUGGGGUGUCCCCACGCUGGCCUUUCUGCUGAUUCAAGGGCCUUUGUCUGUGGUGUGAAGGCAAAAUUGCAUCUCGGGAAUUAAACAUGAAGCGUCAUUAAAGCACAAUGUUCUGUGGAAAGAGAAAUGGGUAUGAGCAGUGUGCUGGGAAAGGGAAAUAAUUAUCCUACUGGAAAAUGCAGACCCACAAAAGAUGCUGUUUAUCAUGAACUGCCACCAGUUUUCAAUCCAUCCCAUAAGCCUUCAGACAUUCUCAGGCAGGGACAAAUCCCUCCAGACAGCCUGACACAAAGAAAAGUGAUUUUUACAUCUAGUUGCCUUUGUUGGGUUUUAUUCCAGGGCUUCUAGUGUCUCCUCGUAUGCUGGGAAUGGUGUCCUCUGACCUAUGUUUCCAUAUAAUGCUUCACAGAUGAUUCUUCCCACUGCUGUGAAGUGCCACAUGACUCUCUCCCUGUCACCAUAUCACCAGCCAUGCUCUGUAUUUAUUGUAGGAUCCCAGGAAACAACUGUGAAUCACCUCACACCUGCAAUCCUGGCACACAGGUUUUCCUGGGAUGAAACCACGCUUCGAGUGAAAUGGGUGGCUGUGCCCCACUGUCCCCAAACAAGCAUUGUCUGUCCCCAACAGCCCUGGGACAAAUGGCUUCAAUCAGAGCCUGAAGGGCCAAAUGAAAGGUCCAAGGAGAGCAGGGGAGACAAAUGUCAUUGUGGCUGUCACACAGGGGCUCUGGGGUGGAGGAGGGGGUGAUGCUGUGGGAGGGAGGGAGGGGAGAGAAGGAAAGAAAGGGAAGAAGAGAAAAAGGGGAGAAAGGGGGAGCUCUGAGUCUUCCCAAGCAAGGCUUUGCCCUGAGAAGGCAGAUGUCCCUCCUGCAACUCAGUGCUGGCCCUGCAUUUCUGGAUUAGUAAAAUAAACCCGCUAGAUGGAGAAAUCAACCACAUCCCUUUUUUGUUGCUUUAAAUAAGAUGGAAGGAGUGUUUUCAGGAUGAAAAGCUGAGCGUGGUGAAGGUUACAGCUGUUAAGCACCUGCUGUAUGUGAGCACAAGAAAUACUCCCAUGGAUUAGGCCAUGAGGCUGCUCAAGAGACUGCAGGAAGGAGCUGUUACUGCUUUUGUCAGCACGUUGCUGGACUGUGUCUUGAAUCCCUGCAGGACUGGGGGAAGCCUCUAUAUGGAGAGAGAUAUAUUUACAAUGAACAAAGGAACAGCACCAUUAAAGAAAAUUCUCUACUGA